rnacentral:rRNA from 1 species
AAACCGUUCGGGGGGAAACGGACAGAGCUCGUGAAUCCGGGUGACGGAAUUCAGAAUCGACGACGUUCACGCGUUGUAGGCUCGAUAUUUCCGUCACCGUUUAUUUCGGACGUCGCGACCCGUUUGGUGUCGGUUUGAGGAGACGUGUGAAAGUUCGUUAGCGCGCCGGGGACUUCGGUUCUCGGUACGUCGACGAGUACGCGUUCUAUUUCUAGCCGACUGGCCAGACGGUACGUAAUGGUGAUCGCAGCGGCCUUUUUUAGCGUCGCUGCUCGACGCCUGUCUGCGACGAAUCUUCGAGUCUCUUUCCGA